CCUACGGGAGGCAGCAGUGGGGAAUCUUGCGCAAUGGGCGAAAGCCUGACGCAGCCAUGCCGCGUGAAUGAUGAAGGUCUUAGGAUUGUAAAAUUCUUUCACCGGGGACGAUAAUGACGGUACCCGGAGAAGAAGCCCCGGCUAACUUCGUGCCAGCAGCCGCGGUAAUACGAAGGGGGGCUAGCGUUGCUCGGAAUUACUGGGCGUAAAGGGAGCGUAGGCGGAUAGUUUAGUCAGAGGUGAAAGCCCAGGGCUCAACCUUGGAAUUGCCUUUGAUACUGGCUAUCUUGAGUAUGGGAGAGGUUAGCGGAACUCCGAGUGUAGAGGUGAAAUUCGUAGAUAUUCGGAAGAACACCAGUGGCGAAGGCGGCUAACUGGCCCAUUACUGACGCUGAGGCUCGAAAAGCGUGGGGAGCAAACAGGAUUAGAUACCCUGGUAGUCCACGCCGUAAACGAUGAGUGCUAGUUGUCGGCAUGCAUGCAUGUCGGUGACGCAGCUAACGCAUUAAGCAACUCCGCCUGGGGAGUACGGGUCGCAAGAUAAAAACUUAAAAGAAAAUUAAGAACG
rnacentral:rRNA from 1 species